rnacentral:lncRNA from 10 species
AAAUGAGACAUGUACGCAAGGCCAUUCUUCCUUUCUUACAUAAUUAUAAUAUCUUACAUUUUAAAAGCACUUUACAGUUGAAUAUCCUUGGAGUAUAUUAUCUUAUUCAAUACCGUUUUAAUUUAAGCUGCUUCAGUACAUGAUUUGUUCAUGUGAAUCUACCCUUUCACUGCCUUUCUGUUUGUUGUUUUUUCCUCACAUCAAUUACAAAACACAUGAUGAUACCUUUCUUUUGCCACAGAUCAUGAGUAUAAGGGUGGAUGAGGGAGUAAAUACUGCAUUUUUCUAAUAUGAUACCACACUUUUAAAGCCAAUUUUAUGGUUCAGAUAUGUGUGGCUGCUAUAGUACCUGAUAUUUUCUGAGUAUGUAUCUUAGUAAAUAAUUUCCAACAUUGCUCACUCACCUUCUCUUACACACUGAAUUCUUUCAGCUUCCUGCCCCAACAAGUCCUGCAUUUCCACGUUAUCUUUUAAUCUUCGUAUGUUUUUCUUGGUAAAAAUUUAAAUUUCUUGAGAAAUCCCCCUUUUCAACAUUCUAUCAGACUUGAAUUAUUUAUUCCUUUCUAGAACACAGACAUGGUGUGAAAAUGAGAAAUUGGAAUUUUAGCCAGAGAGCAUGUUCUACUUAGGGAAGAGGAGAUUCUCUUGAUUACAAAUAUUGCAUAAUAUCACAGAUUCUUGAUGUGUCUAGAAUGCUGGAACCACCUCAAGGAAGGCAAUGUUUGAAGCAACAAAGUGAUCCUGGUCCUGAAUUCGGAGACCCACCUCUUGUUAAUAUUGCAUCUAUGUUACCAUCGGGUUAUUACAUAUUCCCAUCACAAGCUCUGAAAACAUGCAAAACCACUUGACAAAAAGGAUAAACAAGAGAAAAAGGGGGACUGAACCACAACCAGAUGUGCAAUACCACCUGCUAAGGGGAGUGGAGCGGAGUUUAAAGACGAAGUUAUUUUUCGUAAAACCUGGACAAGAAAUCAUGGAAACUUCAAAAAGUAUUAAAAACUUUUAUCAGAGAGAAGACAUACAAAACCUGAUUUCUAUUAUUAAACAUUUGGGGUGAUAUCUCAGGAUACAUGGGCCACAGGGUAUUAAAUGCUAUCGAAGACAAGAAAUGCUUAUUUGUGAUUAACGUCUUUAUAGAUUUGUUUCCAUGUUCAAAGAGCAUGUUCAUAUAUACGAUCACAUUUAAUCUAUACUUUAAUUCUGUCACGUGAGGAUUAUAUUAGUAUCCUCAUUUUAUUAUAACAGAUUUGAUACUCAGGUAGAUUAAUUAUCUUGUUGAAUAGAAUGAAAUUAGGUUAUAAUGAACAGUGAUUUGAAAGUAUAUCUCCUGACUUUAAAUCCAUCAUUAUUCCUUUCUGUGCAGUUUUAGCAAAAUUAUAUUAAAUUUCAUGAAAGCCUUGCAAAAAGUAAUAAUGACAUGCUGGAAUUUUUUAUGCAUUUUUAAAUAGGACUAACCUCUCACAACCUUACCGCAUACAAAAAUUUGCAUUUUCAAAGAAAACUAUUUUUGUUUCCUAUGAAUUGAUUGCCAAGUGAUCCAUAAAUUCCAAAAUAAAACGUGAAAUUAAAACACUCAAAGUGACUGCCUGGAAUUUACUUCAUUUCCCUCAUGGAAUUAGAGUGAAAGCACUUGGUAAUUUUGCUUGCUCCAAGGGCUUUAGGAAAAUUGACUUUCAGUGUUGAUGAAAUAAUAUUUGGAAUGACAAACAUUGGCAGGAAGACAAUUUACUCAGUUGAUAACACUGAGUAAGCCAUUUUCAUCUUGAGAUUUAGUCAGAAAUCUCUGAAAGGAUGCAAUUUACAAAAUAAGUGCUCCAUGACAUUGCAAAAUGACACUAACUUCUGAUGACUCUAAAUGCCAACAUUUUAGAUGAUGAUCCUUUUGGUUUAAAAAGUUACAAUAAAAUAGGAUGUCAAUUGUACAAUGGAUUAAAUUGAGAAAGGCUUAAUUUAAAAUUCUGAAUGAUAGUGAAAAAUAGUAAAAAACCUAGAAAAUUUCUCACUCUCAGAAAAAUGUACCAUAUGUUCCCUAAAAUAUAGAUGGAACCAACUACAUUAGCAAAGCAAUUAAAAUGGUGUCUUGUGGUGUUAAAAUUCAAGUUCACAUAUGGCAUU